GCGGCCGCCAGGGAGGCCUAGGCCCUGUCCGGCCGGCGCGCCCGAGGUGGGGAGGGAAGUUGCGGGGCCGCCGCUCACCCCCCCCCCCCUCGACCGGGCUUCCUAUUUACCGAAGCGGAGCGGCGGACUGUGACGGCAGCACAGCCCCUCGCCUCUCUUGGCGCACCGGUCGGCACUGUUCUCUCGCGCGGGGCUCCCGCGUCCGCCCGUGGGCCGUUGGGAGCGGGAGAGGCGGAGGCGGCCCGAGGCCAAAGCACCCGCCAGGCGCCGAGGGGAAUAUGAAACAGGUGUCAAAAUGACAUCCAGAUUUGGGAAAACUUACAGUAGGAAAGGAGGAAAUGGCAGUUCAAAAUUUGAUGAAGUUUUUUCCAACAAACGGACUACUCUUAGUACAAAAUGGGGAGAGACCACAUUUAUGGCUAAAUUAGGGCAGAAGAGGCCCAAUUUCAAACCAGAUAUUCAAGAAAUUCCGAAGAAACCUAAAGUAGAAGAAGAAGAUACUGGAGAUCCUUUUGGUUUUGAUAGUGAUGAUGAGUCUCUACCUGUUUCUUCAAAAAGUUUAGCCCAG
rnacentral:lncRNA from 1 species